CUACCAGGGUAUCUAAUCCCGUUCGCUCCCCUGGCUUUCGUGCCUCAGCGUCAGACAAGAUCCAGUGUGUCGCUUUCGCCACCGGCGUUCCUUCCGAUAUCAACACAUUUCACCGCUCCACCGGAAGUUCCACACACCCCUAUCUCACUCCAGCUCGCCAGUUUAGGGCGCCAUUCCCCGGUUGAGCCGGGGGAUUUCACACCCUACUUAACAAGCCGCCUACGCACCCUGUAAGCCCAGUGAUUCCGAAUAACGUUCGCACAGUUCGUAUUACCGCGGCUGCUGGCAC
rnacentral:rRNA from 1 species